AUGAACGCUAGCGGCAGGCUUAAUACAUGCAAGUCGAACGGUAACAGGUCUUCGGACGCUGACGAGUGGCGCACGGGUGAGGAACACGUACACAAUCUACCUUAUACUGGAGAAUAGCCCGGGAAACUGGGAUUAAUACUCCAUAGUCUUUAAUGAUCACAUGAGAAAUAAAGUAAAGCUUCGGCGGUAUAAGAUGAGUGUGCGUCCCAUUAGAUUGUUGGUGAGGUAACGGCUCACCAAGUCGACGAUGGGUAGCUGGCGUGAGAGCGCGACCAGCCACACUGGCACUGAGACACGGGCCAGACUCCUACGGGAGGCAGCAGUAGGGAAUAUUGGUCAAUGGACGAAAGUCUGAACCAGCCAUGCCGCGUGGAGGAUGACUGCCCUCUGGGUUGUAAACUCCUUUUAUAUGGGAAGAAACCUCUGGAUUCACUCCAGAGCUGACGGUAUCAUAUGAAUAAGCACCGGCUAACUCCGUG
rnacentral:rRNA from 1 species